rnacentral:rRNA from 1 species
GCUGGCGGCGCGCUUAAUGCAUGCAAGUCGCACGAUCCAGACUUCGGUCUGGGGAGUGGCGCACGGCUGAGGAACACGUGGGUUACCUGCCCUGGCGUGGGGGAUAACGGCCCGAAAGGGACGCUAAUCCCGCAUACGCUCCUUCGGGAGGAAAGCAGUGAUGCGCGCCAGGAUGGGCCUGCGGCCCAUCAGGUCGUUGGUGGGGUAACGGCUCACCAAGCCAAUGACGGGUACCUGGUCUGAGAGGACGACCAGGCAGACUGGGACUGAGACACGGCCCAGACUCCUACGGGAGGCAGCAGCAAGGAAUUUUCCGCAAUGGGCGCAAGCCUGACGGAGCAACGCCGCGUGCCGGAUGACGGCCUUCGGGUUGUAAACGGCUUUUCUCAGGGAAGACAUGGACGGUACCUGAGGAAUAAGCCCCGGCUAACUCCGUGCCAGCAGCCGCGGUAAUACGGAGGGGGCAAGCGUUGUCCGGACUUACUGGGCGUAAAGCGUGCGUAGGCGGCCGCGUGCGUCGGGACUGAAAGCGCCCCGCUUAACGGGGCGAGGCGUCUCGAUACGACGCAGCUCGAGGCAGGGAGAGGUUGGUAGAAUUCCGGGUGUAGUUGUGAAAUGCGUAGAUAUCCGGAGGAAUACCGGUGGCGUAGGCGACCAACUGGCCCUGGCCUGACGCUGAGGCACGAAAGCGUGGGGAGCAAACCGGAUUAGAUACCCGGGUAGUCCACGCCGUAAACGAUGUCGGCUUGGUGUUUGAUGGUGUGAAAGCGCUGUUGAGUACCGAAGCUCACGCGAUAAGCCGACCGCCUGGGGACUACGAGCGCAAGCUUAAAACUCAGAGGAAUUGACGGGGGCCCGCACAAGCAGCGGAGCGUGUGGUUUAAUUCGACGCAACGCGAAGAACCUUACCCAGGUUUGACAUGUGGCUGCAAGCGCACAGAAAUGUGUGACCUUCGAGGGUGCCACACAGGUGCUGCAUGGCUGUCGUCAGCUCGUGUCGUGAGAUGUUGGGUUAAGUCCCGCAACGAGCGCAACCCCUGCUGCCAGUUACCAGUGUCUGGCGGGACAGCCAUCUAUAGAGGUGGAGGAAGGCGGGGAUGACGUCAAGUCCGCAUGGCCCUUACACCUGGGGCGACACACACGCUACAAUGGCCGGUACAAUGCGUUGCAAGCAGGCAACUGCAAGCUAAUCGCCCAAAGCCGGUCCCAGUACAGAUCGGGGGCUGCAACUCGCCCCCGUGAAGGCGGAGUUGCUAGUAACCGCGCAUCAGCCAUGGUGCGGUGAAUGCGUGCCCGGGCCUGUACACACCGCCCGUCACGUCAUGGGAGUCGGUAAUGCCUGAAGUCCAUGGGCUAACC